rnacentral:tRNA from 1 species
GUUCUAGUAGUGUAGAGAAGCACGGGUAAUUGUGGUUUAUCAGGGAAAUGUUUUUUUAGGGCU